CACAGUCAGUCACAGACAGACAUGACAUUACACGUCGUACUCGUAACUUUCAUAAGUUACUUAAAAAGUUUAACAACGGAGAUCGGAUAACAAGUUAACUGCUUUUAAAUAAUUUCAGCUGAAAUUUUCAUGUACCUUGCCAACUAUAGGUGCUCAUGAGUUGUGACAAUAGAAAUGAAAUGGUCUAAUCCAAUAAUGCAGCUCACAAGUCACAACCUAAUAUGUCUUCUGAAGAAAAAUCAAGUCUAUUGCAGUUGUAAAUCUUCAAGAUAUUGAUGCCUUCGCCAGAUCCAAUUCUUUGUUGCUGACGAGAAAGAGAAUUCAUAAUUUUGUGUGCAACAGACCGAAGGGAGAACCAUUUUGUUGCCCAUCCAAGGAUCAGGAAAAGGCCAACACCACCAACACGGUCAACAAGGUUCUUUGUUUGUUUACCCACUUGGCUGGUGAAAGAUUGUUGUGCAUCAAGUUAACCUGUGGCUGUUCCUUGUUGCUGGUGUCUUGUUAUGGAAGUUGCAGGCAGUAUUUUGUUCAAUUUGCAUUAUAUGUCUGUAGAUUUACAGCUAGUUUAAGUCUUAGCUUCACCUUCUUCUUCGUUCCAGUCAAAUUCACACAUGGAUUUUUUCAGCCGGUCUGUUGAAUUUGACAUGUACAAUUUUCUUUUUGGUAAAAUUAUGAUUAGGCUUGACUCUUGUAAAUACCAUAAAGUGACAUUUAUCUGUCUUUUCAUUGACAGCAUUUCCAUUGAUGCUGAAGAUUAAUUCAUUUAAUUUUGGUUGUAGGUUUAGCGUUUAUGUUCGUGUAGUUGCAGACUUGCAGUCCGAUGUGGCACGUUGUUGCAGCCUAUGUUGUCUGGUGAAAGAUCUUUCUGCAUCAAGUUCAACUGGUCGUUCCUUGGUGGUCGUGUUGUGUUACCAGAAUUGCAUCAUUAUAUUGUUAAAUUGUCAUUGUGUCUAAUCUGUUCCCGUUGUUAAGAAGCAACAAAAACAAAUAUGGGAUGUUUAUGUCAAACAAAUAAUAAACAUGUUUUCGGGAUUGGGAAAGGAAAGUGGAGGAUGUUUGAGGGAGGGGUAAUUCAAGUUUGGAUAAAAAACAGUUAAUUUAUAACCCUACCAACAUAUCCACACCAAUUAAUCUCCAAACCCCACAAACUUAUACCUUCCAAUUCUUCAGACCCCAUAAACAUGCACCUACCAACCCUCAAAUUUAUACCCUGAACCACAUAAACCAAUGUUAAACCCUAACAAUAUGAUGUCUGUAAUAAAUAAAACAUUUAAUACAUUAA